GACUCGCUUCAUUACGGGUAUUAUCGUAAUAAUUCGCUUUGAAUGACUACCCAGGAUUUCCUCCGUUUCUUUUUUUUCUCUCUCUAUUUUCUUUAGAUUUUCUCUCUCUUCCUCUACACUAUCUGUGAAGCGAUUUUCUUUGAUAUGCUCUUCGAUUUCUUCCGUUUUGUUCAUCAAUUUGUCGCAUUUUCUUGUUAAGUUUUACCCCUCUUUGUGGCGAAUUUUUCUCCAACGAUAUACAGCUAAGGUAAAUCCGUAAUUUUCUUACAACUUUGAUUAUUGAAUUUCUCGAGAUUUCAAUUGAGUUUACUGAAUUUAAUAUUGUUCGAAUUGUGGAUUUUCUUAAUUGGAUUUCUGGUUGAAAUUUUAUAAUUCUGAAUCGUUUUUUAUUUAUUUUUUAAUUCUGAAUAGUUUAAUGAUAUUGUAGCUUAUUGUUGUUUACUCGAUUUAAUUACUAGUGUUUUGGUUUGGUUAGGGUUUUCGUUUUUUACUUGAUUUCAUUGAUUUUUUUAGUUGAGACGCUUAGCUUUGUAUUAUUGGAUUUUUUUUUUAUCUGGAUUAUGUUUUGAUGCUUGUCUUUGAAUUUUCACGAAAAUUGUAUUAUGUGUGUCUUUUGAUUAUGUUUCAAUUUUCUUUGCUUUUUGCUUUUAAAUUCUUAUUAUUUACCUUUUAUUUAGUUUGCUUUGCUUUUUAUAAUUUUUUAUUUACUUUGUGGUAUGGCAUUGUAUGUAUAAAUUGUUCUGAAAGUUGGUUUAAGCUAUUUGCUAGCAUUUCUAUGUCUUUUUGUUGUAUUUUGGAACUUAAUGAGAUUUUGAUAUCGAUGUACUAAACAUUUCUUAGCGUUUCUAUGGUAGCUAGUAUAGGUGUUAUAUUGCACUUAUGGGUAGAUGAUGGCAUACAAUGUGGCGAUUAUUGAUUUUAUUUUUUAUUCUGAUUGUGAUUUGGUGCAUGAGAAUUUGUUCAUUUAUUCCUUGUUUCAUUGAAUAGACUAUUAAUCUAUAAUAAAAUAAUUUUCUAAAAUUUGAGCUCUUACUAGUGUUGAUAAGGUUCCUUUUCCUCUCACUUCUGGUGUUUAUUAUUCACACAGGUGCGGAGAUGGAUGUCAUCCCGCUUCACACUUCCAUAACAAGUAGACUGAGUUAUACUACAUAUUGUUGCUCUUGUACAAUAUGUAUUACAUACUAUAUUACAAGAGUAGCAGCAAAAUAUAUUGCUAUUAAGUUAUAUAGUCUUAUUUGAGAAGACUAUAUAAAGAGCAGAUAUAGGGAAUUGCAGAUUGAGCUAUAUUACAAGAAUAGCAGUCUGCAGAUACAGGGAAUUGCAUAUGCGUAAAUGAACUAAACAACUUAGCUAUCUGAACAAGCUGCAACUGCUGCUCUGGAGGCCCUGCCAAGCCUGCAGCUGCUGCUCUGGAGGCCUUGCCAAGCCUGCAGCUGCUGCUCUACCAAUGCUGCUUAGGUUGCUGCUACAGCUGCUGCCCCGACAUGGCCUGCUGCUGCAGCUGCUGCCCUGCCAUGGCUUGCUACUACAGCUGCUACUUUUGCGCUGCCAAGGGUGCUGUUGCAACUGCUGCUUUGAUUUUCAUUUUUUGAUUUUAUCUACUUUUUCAACAUGUCCCUUCUCAUUGUGGACAUGGUCCUUUCUGCAUAUAUAUUAGGAUAGUAAUUAAGCUUUUCUUAUUUACUUUUGAGUAUUUUUAUUUACUUUUGUGAUUUUUCAGUAUAUAGACAAAAAAAAAACGAUCGAUUGUGUCAACUAAUUAUUCUUACUCUAUAAUAGCCUACUAGCUCAAUAGUUAGAGCAUUGUGCAAGUGCACAAAAGAUGUGGGUUCGAAUCCCACGUAGGUUCUUCUAACGCCUCGAACCAUUGUAAUGUAAUUAUUUUUUUUAAUACUUUUGAGUUUUUCUAAUUUUCAUUUGAGUAAAUAUUAACUACU